rnacentral:rRNA from 1 species
UACAGAGGGGGCAAGCGUUAUUCGGAAUUAUUGGGCGUAAAGGGCGCGUAGGCGGCUUUUCAAGUGACGGGUGAAAUCCCUCGGCUUAACCGAGGAACUGCCUGUCAGACUGGAAGGCUUGAGACCGGGAGAGGUGAGUGGAAUUCCCAGUGUAGCGGUGAAAUGCGUAGAUAUUGGGAGGAACACCAGUGGCGAAGGCGGCUCACUGGACCGGAACUGACACUGAGGCACGAAGGCCAGGGGAGCAAACGGG